GGAUAGGAUAGGAUAGGAUAGGAUAGGAUAGGAUAGGAUAGGAUAGGAUAGGAUAGGAUAGGAUAGGAUAGGAUAGGAUAGGAUGGGAUGGGAUGGGAUGGGAUGGGAUGGGAUGGGAUGGGAUGGGAUGGGAUGGGAAAGGAUAGGAUAGGAUAGGAUAGGAUAGGAUAGGAUAGGAUAGGAUAGGAUAGGAUAGGAUAGGAUAGGAUAGGAUAGGAUAGGAUAGGAUAGGAUAGGAUAGGAUAGGAUAGGAUAGGAUGGGAUGGGAUGGGAUGGGAUGGGAUGGGAUGGGAUGGGAUAGGGUAGGGUAGGGUAGGGUAGGGUAGGGUAGGGUAGGAUGGGAUGAGAUGGGAUAUGAUCUCCCUCAUGGAAAAACUCAUCCAGAACCAGUGAGUCGUUAUCAGAAAUCAUUCCUGUAGUCAACUGGAGCCAGAAACUGAGGAUAUCCUCUUGACUCAUGCAGCGCCUUUACUUUCCAUGACUUUUUGAAUUCCAAAUUUGUCAUGAUCUGUGGAUGGUACCAAAUCAUGUAUUCAUUAUUACAAAAGGUGCUGUCUUGGUGAGGGAUGAACAACUACAGUAAAAUAGAACUAUUUUUUAUCUGGAACCAUUAAAAUUAUUAUUAAGAUUCACCUGGUGGUAUGGAAUUGAUCCUUAAGUCCAGUCCUUAGCAAAAAAAGGUGAAACUUAUUCAAGGUUCGAUUGGUUUUAAUUUGUAUUACUUUACAAGUAAGUGCCAGAUCUUCAUGGGAAUAGAGCAAAUUACUGUUAACUGUCAGUAAAAGAUGUUAAUAGUGAUUCUAUGGACUAUACACACAGGACUGGCCAUUUUCUUUUCCAAUUCUAACUAACAUAUGCUCCCAUUAUAUAAAUUUUAUGCCAAUUUAUGGAAUGAUGAUGUAUUCUCUACAGUUAACAGCAAUAUAAUAGCUUCAUCACUAUGUUUAGGAAUAUCAUAACAACACUUGUAUAGUAUAACAAGUAUAACUUAUUCAAUCCCAACUUUCCUGAACAUAUGGCUCACUUAGUCCUUUGAGACAUAAGACAACUGAGGCCUAGAAGUUCUCUGAAGUAAAUUAAUAUAAUUUUGCAUAAUACUAGAUACAUGUGGUUUUAAAUAGAAAUAACAAGGAAGGUGUUAUGUUUGUUUGGGUUUUAAAUUCAGCAAGGCAACAUUGUAAUCACAAAGAUCUCCCAUUCUCCUAUUCUCCACCAACCAGCAGCAACAUCAAGGAGCUUUGUUAAUGUAAGCCUCUCCUAAUACAAGGGGGAGAAAUACAACAAAAACAAACACUGUGCUUUCUCUUUAAGUACUGUGAAAAAUGAACACACUGUUGCAAGUUCUCUGCUGUAUGAUCUCUUUUCAGGCAUGCUGCAAUCUAGUACUGAAGCAAGAUUCUCAAUCAAGUCUUGAAAAGGACAUAAGGCUGGUCUUUUUUCUCUUGCAUCUACUUGAUCUUGUUUCUAGUUUUUGGUUUGGUUUGGUUUUGAGUAGUUACUUUUGUUGCUAGUCAUGGUGGUUGCUUGGUUUAUUUGUUUGUUUGUAAUGUUUUUCUUGUUAUUGCUUUAUUUGUUGAUUUUUUUUUUUUAAUUUGUAAGAUGACUGUGCACACUACCUCUUUUCACCUCCCGAGAUCAUAUUAGUAUUUAUUCGUAUCAGCAAACUAUCAGUGCUCUGUACUACAGAGUGAGCAAGCUAAUGCUUCAGUAAAUUGUUGCUGCCUUCUGUUACAUCUGUUCUGCUCUGUUCACUAAUUGCCUGUCACAACCACUGAGCCAUGGUGCCAGCCAUGCUGCCACUUCCUCUUUGGUCAGCUUGUCAUCUCCUAUUAAUCUGAGCUCUGUUGCUUUUUCCACAGCCAAUGUUUUUGCACUCUGGAUAAUGAAAAUCUAUUACCUUGCUGCUAUAUGAAAGUGCCAAAAUUAUAAUUCAAAAGAGAAAAAAUUUAAUGACUUCCUGUGUGAAAGUUGACAAUUUCCUACCGUUGCAGCAAAUUAUUUUCCUUGACACUGCUUCACUUCCACGAUUUUUUGUAUCUGUAUGUGUCCCUCAAUCUGUUCACUAUUAUUACUGUUAUUAUCAUAUUUUAUGGAACUUUAUGAAAAUGCAAAUUUAUGAAUGUGAUAAAGAAAAUUUAAAGUAAUGAUACCUAGAAUAUUGCAAUUUAAAGGCAAGUCAGUAGUGGACUAUUGAUUCUCAUGCUGAAAUUUGGUGUCUAAUUUUACCUUGGGGAGAAAAUGGGUUAAUCUGAAACUGAUUUAGAUUAGUUAGAGAUGAUAAUAACCCAAAAGCAAAUUUAUUUUUCACAUUCUGAUUCAGUACUUCAGAGAACAGAAAUGAAGGAGCAUGCUGCCACAGAUGUAUUGUCUGCAUACAUGUACAUCUGUGUAUAUGUAUGUAGUUUUACACAUAUAUCAAACACAGUAAGAACCAACCUAGUUUUAUCUUUGAGAUAAGCUAUAGCUUCCAGAUGACUGUGGGCUGAGAACACCCCUUUGCAAUCCAAGUUCUGGAGAAUUAGGCCAAUUAAGCUGCUUUAAACAGAAUUUCCCAAACUGUUUGCCUUAGUGUGCUGAAGAAUGUAUAAUCUGCACCAGGCAAAAUUCAAAACAACAUAGAAUCAUAGAAUGGUAGAAUAUCCUGAGUUGGAAGGGAUCCACAAGGAUCAUCAAGUCCAACUCCUGGCUCCACACAGGACAACUCAAAAUUCAAACCCUAUGUCUGAAGAUGUUGUCCAAAUGCUUCUUGAAUUCUGGAAGGCUUGGUGCCAUCAUCACUACCCUGGGCCUUUUUUUCAGUGCCCAAGGCAGAUGUAGACAGAUGCUUUGGACUCUGCAGAGUCUUGCAAGUGGCAGAGUAGUUGUUUAGUUUUAUAAAUUGUUUGUUUUGGGGGGCGUGUUGUUCUGAAAGUAAGCUUUUCUUUGUAUGCUGUUUGCCAUCAAAAUUACCACAGAACGCUGUGUUUUUCAUGCACAUAUGGAAAAAAAAAGAAGUAACAGCUCAGUGAUAUCUCUAUUGUUUCACAGGCUGUAUGAACGCAGAACAAAAAUAAUGCCCCUGUUCAGUAAUAAUCACACUGUUGUUUGACACACAUGGCUAGAUAACUACAUUCUAGCUCAUCGGGAGGGGAGAUACAAGGAAAAGAUAAGACCAUUAUGACACAUAAAUGAUCCCAGUACAAUAUGGUCCUUGGCUGAUAUAGUUUUUCAUGGAUGCAAUAGCAAAUAGCACUCUUAAAAAAUAUUUUGAUUUUUACUAUUGAAAAAAAGUGCCAAUAUUUAUAGGUAGCUCCUUAAAAAUGAAUAAGAAGAAAGUGAUUAUUUAAUUACAGCAAGCCAACCAGACACAUAAAUUGACAACAGUGUCAGAUAGUUGAUAGAUAGGAUUGAGAUGGCUAUGGAGAGCCUUUAAAGAGGAGAAAAAUUAUUUAUACAAUACACAAGGAGACCAGAGAAGAAAAUAUGAGUCACAGGAGACUCUGGACAAUACCACAUGGGAGAAUAUGGAGAGUUAAUUUCACAGGUAUCAAAUAAACAUACGAAUAAAAUUGCCACAAGGAGAAGAAAAGAAGUUACCAAAUAUCAGUUUUUCCAUCAUACUGUAUGCAUUUCCUUCCCUACAAAGCUCCACAAUAAAUAUGAUCUAUUGACUUGUGUUUCGGGGAAGAAUAUGCUCACCUGAAUAAACUCUGAUUCUCAACAGAGUUCCACAUGGUAGGGCAUGCACAUGGACCAUUGCCUUAAAGCAGCUCAAACGUAGCUGUGUUCCCCUGCAAAUGUUUAUCAUGUGUUAAGCUUUUAACAAAAUGUAGACAUAAUCUGUCCCUUAUGGAAACGUGAGAUGAAGGUGACUCAAAAGUUACAAGACUAAAUUAGAGACAGAGUGAUGAUAUUCUCACUAGUAGCAAAGUGACUAUAUUAGAUUUUUAGAAUUAAGCACACUUUAAUUUUGUAAAUUACUCACUGGGGCAAAAUAAUAGAAACAUAAUUUCAGAAUAAUCAAAAUCAUUUUGCUUCCAGAUUUCUAAGUGUGACUCCAUAUGGGAGCUAAAGUGCUAAAGUUUCAGUGCUGUCUAUGUACUCCUACAUUAUACAAAGCCAGAGAACCUUUCCCCAGGCAGUUGAUCUUGGCUACCUUUACUAUCAGCCCUAGCCUUGUUCUAGUCUGGAUGAAUUAGCAUGCUCUCAAAUGAUUCCUGGGCACAGUUCAGGGGUUUGGAUGCGUAAAAGAACAUCACCAAAUCUGCUUGCAGAGCAGGAGCUGAAUGUUACACUUACAGACAGUUUUACACCUGUUUUGACCUUGCUGCCAGAGAAUGGACUGGAGGGUGUCUCUGGGCAGCCUGGUCUAGUGGUUGGCAACCCUGCACAUAGCAGGGGGGUUGUAACUAAAUGAUCUUUGAGGUCCUUUUCAACUCAGGCCAUUCUAUGAUUCUGUGAUUCUGUGAUAUGAUCUUUAGUUACUAGCAGCUCUUAUUCUCAGAGACCAAUAGAAGAUUGAGCUGGAAAAGCCAUUACUCUGCUCAACUCACUGAUUCUGAGCUGUGCUCAUGAACAGGGAUCUUCAGUGUUAGAGUUUCCAGACGUUCAGGUUAGUGGCAAACUACACAGAGCCUCUGAGAAACCCUCACUCUACAUUCAGCUCCACAGCUUGAUUUUUAAGAUGCUUUACCAACCUGACUUAGCAAUGCAUACCUGGGGAGUAAAUUUGGCUCUGGGAAUUUGGUAGGCAGGGUUAUUUUCAGUUUCUGUGUUUUAGUGAUUACAAUAAUUUAUUAUUUCUUGUUUCAGGAAAGAGAUGACCUUGUGUGAUCCCUCUUUAUUUGCUCAAUAAGAGCAGCAACAACAGAAAAAAAAAAUGUGAAAAUUCUACUCUUAGGUGCCACAGACAAAAAAAUAAAAUAAAAUGUCUUUUGCAGAAAUACAACUUUCAUCUGUCCAGUGGAUAAGCCAUUAUUGACAAGGUCAGCAUAGAUUUCCAUACACUGCAACAAGGGGAAAAAAAGAAAAAAAAGAAAAAAAAAAAAAAGAGAGAAGGAAAAAAAGAAAAAGGAAAAGAAACAAAUUCAAACCUCACAGCAUUUAUAUAAAUCAAGUACAAAAAUCUUUGCAUCUGCAUAAUUAUUGUGUCAGAUAAACUUCUGUUUAAACUUCUGAUACAAAGCACAUACAAUUACAGAAAAAGGAAGCUGUGAAAAAUGAGCAUUUUUCAGAGACUUAGAAUGAAGUAAAGCUCAUCAUGUAAGUAAUACAUUUUCAAGAAAAGAAGCCCAUAUGAAUGAAAAUAUGAUGGAAUCGCAAAGAAGAACAAGUUGAAAGACAUGACACUUCAUUUCUGAAGAACUUGAGAGAUCAAUACCUUAGUCUAUGUAAUAUUAUCCACAUCUUUUCAGAAAGUACAUCCUGAAGAAUGAGUUGAUGCACAUGACAUUUUCUUUCAAGUAACUGGAAUAUAAUGCAAAGUCUGUAGACAAAAUUAUUGAUUUUUUUCCUCCUUUAAAAAAAUGUGAUAUUAUCAUCAAAUUUAUCUGAAAUGCAACGUCAGUGACAAUACAGUUGUGAUGAAUUCAUGUCUGCACAUUUUAUUUGCUUAAAUUGACAUGUAUAUUCUUUUAAAUCUUUUCUUCAUUCUGCUUUCAAAUUUGAAAAAGGAUUAUUCAGGAGCAAUUUGAUUAUUUCAGUUACUCUGCUGUGUGCAUUUUGAAAGGUAGCAUCUCCAAAUAUUGUCUUUCCUGUUUUGCUGGUUAAGCGCUUAGAUUGCCACAGGGCUGGAUUGAAAUUGUUCAGGACAUGAUGAGACUCUGGAUUUCCAAGAGCCUUAUCAACCAGCCAAAAUUCAGGCAAGGCAGCCAGUGUAUUAGAAUGAAAUGUCAAUUACAACGCCCUUCACUGUUACAAGCAUUCGAGGAUGACUGGGAAGUAAAUGUAUGAUGGUUGGAGAAAUUACUUUCUUUGUAGUUUAACUGUAACACUGGCAACCAGCAAAGGGAGAAAUCUUAUUUUCUGUUCAAUUUAUUUAUGGCUCUGCACAUCUGUGCAAAUCUCGGACAACAUGACAUGCUUCCUUAACCAGGCCAAGGUAUCUAACCAUUUCCUGCAGUAACAUGUCUGACUAUUUUUUUCAAUAGGCUAUCUUUCCAUGUAAGAAUUACUUCUUUUAUUGAAAAGAGAAUAAUACCUUUAACAUUCAUUUCUCUUGCACAAAUUGCUUCCACAAUAUUUAUUCUCUCAUCAAAUUAACAUUAUCUUGGCUAGGAAUUAGAAUUCCUCUCUAUUUUAAUGAGAUCUUUGCAAAGACAAGGUGUUAAUCUACGAUGACCUUACUACGACAUCUCUUAAUUGUUGAUGGCAGCAAAUGAAAUGUGAGUGGACACAGAACAAAUUGCUUCAUUAGUGAUAUAGUCUGUAAUACCUAAGAAACUGUAACCCACAUUUCCAAGAUCAUGGGCUAUUUCAUCUCAUCACUUAACUCCCACAAUGAGAUUGCACUGUCCAUGUUAGCUAACAGUAUAGAUAUUUGUCACAUUAAAAGGAUAUGCUAUUUAGCAGCUUACAGUAUAUAUGACUGUGUAAAAUAUUGUCUUCACCUCCAAACACAAAAAAAAAUCAACAUAUCCUAAAAAUAUGACUGAGCAUGUUUUAAAAACAUGAUGUGACUGAAAAUGUAUGAGAACACAUCAACAACUGGAUCUGAACUGCAACAUCCCCGUGAUUGCCAAGUGUCCUAACCAGAAAUCUAUUUUUUCACAUUGUAAGUAGGACAGUGCAAAUCUUAUUGGGAUAAAAGUCAACAAAAAUAUUAGCUACAUGACUUAUCUAAUCCUUGGGAAAAAUUAGCAUUUGAUUUCAGAGUUGAGUAUUUACAUAGCUGCUGUUGAAGUGUGCAAAACUGUAAUACUAAUGCUCUUCCAGGGAGAUUCAAAUUUCAGCAAAUUUGACAACUAAAUGUAUUUAUGUGGAUGUGGCACAGAGCAGCUUUGUAUAAUUAACUUUCUUUUAAAUGUAAUUAUUAAAUUGAAUACUUCAUGCUUCACCACAGCCACAAAAGCAAGCACAAAGGAAGUAGGGAAAGGCAGAACAAGUCUUUACAACUUCAAUUCAGCAUGGUUGCAUUUAUAAUAAACUCUCAAAUAAAAACUAUGUAGAAAACUGACAAAUUCAGAAAGGCUAUUUAAUUUUCAUCUCAACCAUAUAGCUCAUUUACUUUUAUUAUUGUUCUGCUUUUCCUUCAGUAGUACACUGAAUAAAGGAGAUAUAAAAAUAUAAUUAGAAAAAAUAAUAGAUUAUCAACAAGUACUUAUACAAAGGCUGAAAUAGGAAGUGGUAAAAUAUAUCUUAAAAUAAAGGAAGUGAAAGAAAAAAGAAUCCUAAAAGAAAAACAAAAUGAAACAUUUCCUGCAAAUAAACCAGUAUUUCAGCGUGACACUGGAAGUAAAUAGAUUUUAAUUCAGAUCUUUUAAACCAGCAGCCUAGACCAAGAGCUGUGCAUGAAAAGUAUAGCUGAUGAAGAUAAUUUAUUUUUGUGUGAAUCAACCACAGGGGAAUAGGGAAGAAGGAGAGCAAGUAACAGUGAAACUGCUUAACUGUCCCAUCUGAGAAGAUGUAUCAGGUCUUGCAGUGAGGAUUCCGGAAUUAUCCAAGUCCAGCCUAGUUGUCCCAGUGCCAAUGAUACGGUUUCAGCUCCAGUGCUUCAACUACAGAUCUGAGGUCUGUGAGGCUAGGGAACAUGCUCUGCACCCGAGGGUGCAGAAAAUUCAAAAGCAGAUGACUAACAAGUUUUCAGUGUGUUAUAUUCUCCAAACUAACUAUUUUUUCAUUACUAUAGCAGAAAAGCACCUUGAUAAAUGAAGAGCUUUUGCUCCUAAGCCCAAAGGCACUACAGCACUUCAAAGAAGCAAGUUCCAAUAUUAUUUUAUAAAGACUUUUUUUUCUCCUAAAUUAAUUUUCAUUUUAAAUGACUCAGAUAUUUUUACUGAAGCACUAAGAUUAAAUAUCUAUUUGAGACGUAGAAAAACUUUAACCAGAAAAAAAACAGUAUUUGUAGGCUUAGAAUAAUAUAAACAUAUACAUAGUUCUCUCCAAAAGUAAUACCUCCUAUUUAUGUCCAUGGAGACAACAACAGAUACAAAAUGCAUAAUAAUAAGAUUUGAUAGAGCACAUUGCCAGCUACAAAAAGCUAUUUUUCAACAUAGUCACUGUUAUUAGCUAUGCAUUCUGAGUCUGCAUGCCAUGUUCAUUAAAUCUGCAUCGCUGGAGCUGAUCCACUGCCACUAUCAUCCCUGUUGAAACACACCACCAACAACCUUACUGUGCUCACCUCCACUUUUUGGUCUCCAUAAGCAUUCAGCAAGCACUGAUGAAUGUCAGUGGGUGGCAUUUUUUCCACAUGAAGGAAGUCAGUGACACACCUUUGCUUCAUCCACACUUCCAUGUCAGACACCAUUUUGUCAGACUGCCCCUCUUCUGCCAUCUAUCACACAGCAACAAAAUGUAAUGGAAUAUUGGUGGGAAGGUUCAACUUCUACUUCCUUAUCACAUACAUCCAUCUCUGAUAGUAGGAUAAAUGUAAUAAAAUAGGAGGCAUUACUUCUGGAGCAGCCCCCAUUUAUACAGCAAACUUUACCCAUAACAAUAGGUGUUGUUUCUGCUAUCCAAGAUCAUGAUAGGAAGCAGUUUAUGAUCUGUUAGUCCCUCAUAAGAGUAUACCCUUUUUAAGACACUAUAUUGUGGAAUUAAUAAUAGAGUUCUCUCAGACUGAUUGCUUAGCACUCAAGUUCACUUCUGACUGCCACUAACAGUAGCUCGUUUGAGACAAAAUCAGUUAUAGUUCAGGUAUAGUUUUCCCUCGACUGCUGAGUAUGGAGAUGACUGAAGGUUUGUCACAUUCUAUACCUUCAUCAGUCCACUAGGACUAUCCUAAUUAUCUUUCUAUUCACAAACACAGCAAAAUGCUGUUAUAUAUUGAGAGAUGAGACACAUUCACUUCCUAACUUUACAUAAAAAUCUUAUGAGCAGAUUAUGACAUCUAUGUCUCUAUGUACUCCACAAUUAUAUGUCACUUAAGUCUUCAUGUUGAGUCAACUUCUCAUAGAGAGAACUGGACCAGCUUUUUCCAUCCCACUGGGAAAUUGCACUGCGAGGUACAGCUGUGAAUCAUUCUGCCUUACCUGUCCUGGUAGCAAGGAAAUCAACUCCUGAGCAGGGACUUUAGUUACAUUGUCAUGGCCAGUAUCGAGCUCCAAUUGAUUUAGAGGCUGCUGUUACCUACACAAGUGAAACUGGCCAACUGGAGAUCAUUAAUCCACAGUCUCUUCAAAUCUUUCAUUUUCUCAAUGAGUGGAACACAGCAUGUUGAAGCACAUUCUGCUCACAGCAAGAGUAUCAAAGAGUCCAGAGACUCUGGAGUAAUGACUGCUGAUUAUGCUAAUUCUACACUUCCAAUAUCAGUCAAGAAACAUCCCCCACACCACUGCAGGUUUAGAGCUACUGUAUGUACG
ensembl:lncRNA